UCCUCCUUCGCGCCGCCGCCGCCUCCUCCUCCCUCGCCACUCAGCGCCGGGUCUCGGGAAGCCGGGGGGGAGAGAGGGAGGGAACGGAGCAGUGGGGAGGCGGCGCGGCUGGGCUGCCAAACGCGGGCGGAUUGUGCCCCCCUCUCGGCCCGGAGUAGCGGGGAACUGCAGCCGCAGAUAGCGCGCUGCGGCCUCCUACCAGCGCCGAGCGGUGGGUCCCUGCCAUCCCCCGGCCGCCGCUUUAAGUGCCCGCUGUAGCAGCCGCGGAACCAAGCGACACGUUUCGUACAGCCUGACUAUGGCUCCUAUAACCUCGGCCGCUGAUGUUGCCUGGGUCGGGGACACCAAAUUGAAACAGAAACAGCAGUGAACUGCCACAGCAACUUCACCUGACUCUGUAGUGUUCCAGUUCAACUCAAUAAAUCAACAGAAAACUAACAUGGCAGAAAAAAACCCAGAGUUUUCCCUUCAUCUUUAACAAGCCGUGUGGAAUCACCAAGGAGUCUGAUAUGCAGCAAAGCUGCAGCAGAGCAUGUUGGGAACAAGCAGGGCAUGCAGGCAGUGCAGAACCAACCCUCUCAGCUGCCAGGAGCACUCUGUCACCCCCUGAACCUUUCUCAAUUAGAUCUGUGUAGGCCCUGAAAAAAUUUCCUUAGAUGAAGCCAGAAUUUCAUCCCACCUGCCCUCUUGAAUCAAAAAACAAAACUGUUGAUUUAUGCUUUUCUCCCCUAUAGAAGUGCUGAGAAGGUGAAUUUUAACCCUGGUUAUUAAUUAUUCUAUAGGUAAUUACAUGACAAUGAAGUCUAUGAAAAUAAGCUCACAGCUGAGGCCUCAGCAGCAUUUCCAAGCAUGCAGGUGAAUGAAAAGCUGUUAAAUGACUGUUACUCCUCUCUGCCUCCAUGCCAUAUUUCCUUUUAAGUUCCUCAAAUCAACUACCAUAGUAAGAUAAGGAAA